AGAGUUUGAUCAUGGCUCAGGACGAACGCUGGCGGCGUGCUUAAUACAUGCAAGUCGAGCGAGGUUACUGUUUCGGAUCCCUUCGGGGUGAAGAAGCUUUAACCUAGCGGCGGACGGGUGAGUAACGCGUGGGUAACCUACCCCAAAGUCCGGGAUAACAGCGGGAAACCGUUGCUAAUACCGGAUACUCCAUUUCUGGCGCAUGUCAGGAAUGGGAAAGGGUUUACCGAUGUCGGAUGGGCUCGCGUCCCAUUAGCUGGUUGGUGAGGUAACGGCUCACCAAGGCUACGAUGGGUAGCUGGUCUGAGAGGACGAUCAGCCACACUGGAACUGAGACACGGUCCAGACUCCUACGGGAGGCAGCAGUGGGGAAUAUUGCACAAUGGGCGAAAGCCUGAUGCAGCGACGCCGCGUGGAGGAUGAAGGCCUUCGGGUCGUAAACUCCUGUCUGGGGGGAUGAACACUGACAGUACCCCCGGAGGAAGCCCCGGCUAACUACGUGCCAGCAGCCGCGGUAAU
rnacentral:rRNA from 1 species